rnacentral:rRNA from 1 species
GUAACAAGGUCUCCGUAGGUGAACCUGCGGAGGGAUCAUUACACAAUAAAAUAUGAAGGCUGUACGCGGCUGUGCUCUCGGGCCAGUUUUGCGGAGGCUGAAUUAUUUAUUACCCUUGUCUUUUGCGCACUUGUUGUUUCCUGGGCGGGUUCGCCCGCCACCAGGACCACAUCAUAAACCUUUUUUAUGCAGUUGCAAUCAGCGUCAGUAUAACAAAUGUAAAUCAUUUACAACUUUCAACAACGGAUCUCUUGGUUCUGGCAUCGAUGAAGAACGCAGCGAAAUGCGAUACGUAGUGUGAAUUGCAGAAUUCAGUGAAUCAUCGAAUCUUUGAACGCACAUUGCGCCCUUUGGUAUUCCAAAGGGCAUGCCUGUUCGAGCGUCAUUUGUACCCUCAAGCUUUGCUUGGUGUUGGGCGUUUUUUGUCUUUGGUUGCCAAAGACUCGCCUUAAAAGGAUUGGCAGCCGGCCUACUGGUUUCGCAGCGCAGCACAUUUUUGCGCUUGCAAUCAGCAAAAGAGGACGGCAAUCCAUCAAGACUCCUUCUCACGUUUGACCUCGGAU